AUUGAACGCUGGCGGCAGGCCUAACACAUGCAAGUCGAACGAGUGGCGGACGGGUGAGUAAUGUCUGGGAAACUGCAUGAUGGAGGGGGAUAACUACUGGAAACGGUAGCUAAUACCGCAUACCAUCAGAUGUGCCCAGAUGGGAUUAGCUUGUUGGUGGGGUAACGGCUCACCAAGGCGACGAUCCCUAGCAGGUCUGAGAGGAUGACCAGCCACCAGGGAACUCAUACACGGUCCAGACUCCUCCGGGAGGCAGCAGUGGGGAAUAUUGAACAAUGGGCGCAAGCCUGAUGCAGCCAUGCCGCGUGUAUGAAGAAGGCCUUCGGGGUGUAAAGUACUUUAAUCGGGGAGGCGUUACCCGCAGAAUAAGCACCGGCUAACUCCGUGCCAGCAGCCGCGGUAAUUC
rnacentral:rRNA from 1 species